rnacentral:rRNA from 1 species
GAUGAACGCUGGCGGCGUGCCUAAUACAUGCAAGUCGAGCGAACAGACGAGGAGUUUGUUCCUCUGACGUUUGCGGCGGACGGGAGAGUAACAUGUGGAUACCCUACCUCUAAGCCUGGGAUAACUUCGGGAAACCGGAGCUAAUACCGGAUAACAUGUUGAACCGCAUGGUUCAACAGUGAAAGUCGGUCUUGCUGUCACUUAUAGAUCGAUCCGCGUCGCAUUAGCUAGUUGGUAAGGUAACGGCUUACCCAGGCAUCGAUGCGUAGCCGGCCUGAGAGGGGGAGCAGCCACGCUGGGACGGAGAGACAGACCAGACUCCUGCGGGAGGCAACAGUCGGAAAGCUGCCACAAGGGGCGAAAGCCGGACAGAGCGACGCCGCGUGAGUGAAGAAGGUCUUCGGGUCGUAGAACGCUGUUAGUAGGGAAGAACAAUUGUAUAAGUAACAAUGCACGUCUUGACGGUACCUAAACAGAAAGCCACGGCUAACUACGUG